CAACAAAAUUCCCUGCUGGAUACAAAACAAGGAAGUUCAUUUUUCGGUCAGUCCCCGUGGCACAAAAUGACAUUUGCAGUACUUUACUGAAAUGUUUUAGGGUUAUUGUUUUUGUUUUUGUUUUUUUUAAUUAUUAUCAUGAUUAUGAUUUUUCCAACUUGGAAAACCAACUAAUCCACUGGUGUUUGAGAAGGUGAUGGUUACAGUAGUGACAGUAGUGCUCAGCAUGAUUUUUCGGCACUAAGACUGCAUUAGUCUCUCUUUAUGUUCACCAGUUUUCAAUGCUGUCAAAGGGAAAACAGAACUAAUUACCCUUUAAUCAAAUCCAGUCUGCUUUUUGUGAGAUCCUGCACUGAUCCAGCGGAUGGAAAGGCUUCUGAUUGACCAGGAUCACUAGAAGUGUUGUAUUAAAAAGACUCAGCAGCAACUCCUGGCAGCAGUGAUUGAAGAGUGGGAGCCGCCCCACUGGAUGACAUCCGGAGGAAGACUUUUUGACUCAGCUGUGCUGCCUUAAGAGUCCUACAUUUGAGCCCUGGAUCUGACACGCAAACACACACAGAGAUGUAAAAGGAAGCUACAUGCCAAUAUUUUCAUCCAGCUUGAAGAUGCCAUCUGAACUCCACCAGAGGGAGACAGAGUAACGCUGAAAAUGUCCCAGAUGGUCCGGUAGGCAUCAGCAAGGCUUCUGAAGAAACUGACUGGAUAAUUUCUCACAACAGAAAUGGAAAUAUGAGCAGCAUAGUGGAGAGAAUUCACACUUAUAGUGAAAUUGUUUCAAAAAUAUUGACCUUUUCACUUCAGGCAGAUUUCUUUCUAAGGAGAAAACAUUUUUUUGUCUUUUUUGACAGAGAAACACAAAUUUUUAGGUUUUGAUCACAUUUAACAGCCUUGGUGAAGGGAACACAUUUCAUGAGUCAUCGGGUGAUAAUCAAAAAACAAAACAAAAAAGUUAACUAUGACUUAUAUAACACAGACAGCAAAGAAAGCACAAUUAACUGUGAUGACUUUUUUUUUUUUUUUCAUUAAACUGACUGUAAACUUUGUAUUUACAUGUUUUCACUAAUACUGCCAGAAUAGCCACAUUUUCAGCAGCUGAAUGCUGGAAAGACUGAAAUUAACAGAACAAUGACUUUACUUUUUUUUCUGUGUUGUUGGAGUCUAAAAGUUAAGCUCCAAAUUUGGUUUUCCAGGUGAUGUUUGUAACAUUUAGGAAGUCCACACAGGAUGGGUGAGGCUCUGCCAGGCCUGCGGGCUGUUCCACAAGUUACAAACCCUCAUAUGGAGCAGAGCCAUGCAUUAUUCACCCCACAUUUACAUAAGACACAAUGGUGAGAACGGUGCCAAAAAAGUGUACGGCUGAACUGUGUGUUUGUGUGUGUUUAUCUGGCGUAUCAAGGGUGCUUCUGAGCAUUCCCGUGAAUCUCUUUGCCACCUGAGGUUUUUGCUGUUCUGCCAACAAUUGUUGAUGCAAUCUAGACGAGGGCACAGACCCCAAGGCUCAUCCUCGAAUCCCUGAAAGCUUUGGUUACCCAUUACAAGAAGAGAGAGCAGAGGAGGGAGCGGGCAGAUAAAGGCUGAUAUUGUUUCUGUGCACAUUUAUCUUUCUGUCUGAAAGCCCUGUUUACUGAGGACUUAAAGCCAAACCAGGUUCUCUGGCAUUUUUGAAAAAACACAGGUCAGAGUGGCCAUGACUUACUUCAGAAUUCCUUCACGGUGACGAAUGAUGUAAUAUGAUGCUCAAACAAUCACAAAGUAAUACUGUUAUGUUCCUGUGAUGGCAUGCCUUUGUGUUGAGUCAGAAAGUAAUCAGAUAAGCGCUCAAGUGUUGAUAUUAGCUUUGCUAUUUUAAACACAUUAACCGAGUUUAGCAGUUUCACCAGAGUGAAUGAGCAAGUUGAAGACUUAAAACAAAACUACAAAAUAGUCCCAGAAGCACCAGAAUAAGUGUCAGAGAAAGCUGGACAGGAAACAGAUUCUCCACAAAAGAAUGCUCACUGUGAGGCGAAGUGAUCACUGGGCAAGCUAUCUUUCAGGAGGGCCCCGCAGCUUCAAUAUACCCUAAAUAUGUUUCCUCCUGCAGUCAAGGGUACUUUGCAUCUGUUGUUACAACAAUUUGAACUCUUGCGCUACCUUCAGGCAAUUAGAUACAGAUAAUUUUUAACCUCCAUGAUGGAGGUUAUGUUUUUCUGUUAGCGUUUGCUGGCGUGCCUUCUGUCAUUACGUCUGUAAACAUAACAGCACAAAAGGUUUUGAAUGAAUUUUGGUCCAACUUUGCAGGGGUUCAGAAUGGGGUCAUGUUAACAAUCCAUUAAAAUUUGCCUCCGAUCCACCAAGAUCUUCAAGGUCAUCUUAAUGAUUUAGUAGUUGAAAAUGGACAAAAAGCCUUAUAACUGAGCUGAGAAACUGAUUCUUACAAGUGUGGUGUGUAUUGUUAACAUAUGGAAAGUAUCAUAUAAAGAUUUAAAAUAUCAUGUCACAUUUCACCUCUGACCUUUCCUUCAAGGUCAAUAGAUGGGUCAAAGUGAUAAUAAUGCUAUAUAGAGCUAUUCAAAACUAUGUUUCUUACUGCCAUUAUUUGUAUUGACUGCAUAUAGAGAAUUAUAUAUGGGUGUUUUAAAUAUCAUUUUAUUAUGACUUUGUUAUGUUCAUUACAGUAAGAGGUUAUAACCAUUUAAAUACAUUAUAACAGUUACAAUACAAAUAUUUAAAUACAUGUACAAUGUUCCUGAGUAUUUUUUAUUUUGGAAAACAUAAUAAACCUUUGAUCCAAAAAGUUUUUCACUUGGUUGUCAUGUUUUCAUGUAAACCUUUAAACAAAGUUUACGAAACAGUGAAUUGAAUGCUACACAUGUAUUAUGUCCAUAUAAAUCCACAUGAAAAAUAAUUAUAGUCGAAAUUAUGUCAGGUAUAUUUAAAUGGGUUUCAACAGGGAAAACAACAACUGCUUCCACUUUGCACUUUUUUUUUUUACUGCACUAACAUUUCUUAAAUGAUUUUUAAAAAGCUCAAAGAAAACAAAAUGAAUACAGAGAAAACACUGUGCUAUUUCCUUAAAGGUAAGUGAGCUGCCAUGUCGGAGGUUUGUGCUCUCGGAGUGCUUCUUGAUCAUUUGUUAUUCUAACUUUCCAAAUGAUCAAGAAGACAUUCUUUACCCUCAAAAAAUGUCCUGUUUCCCCCAAAAAUCUUGGGUUAAACUUAAAGUGAUGACUCAGACCCCACAGAUGAAACCUGAAAUAAAGCCUCAAAUACCAAAAGGUACAGAACUGUCAAAUUCAAUUAAUUUUUGCAUCUGUUUGGUUGUUCUUUCAACCUGGAGACUGGAUCUAUUAUUAUUUAUUUCACAUUAUUAAAAACACUGAAGUUGACAUUAAACUAAGGCUUUUCAGGCAGUUACCAAGAUACAUUCUUCU
ensembl:lncRNA